rnacentral:rRNA from 1 species
UGACUNGAGUGCAGAAGGGGAGAGUGGAAUUCCAUGUGUAGCGGUGAAAUGCGUAGAUAUAUGGAGGNACACCAGUGGCGAAAGCGGCUCUCUGGUCUGUCACUGACGCUGAGGCUCGAAAGCGUGGGUAGCGAACAGGAUUAGAUACCCUGGUAGUCCACGCCGUAAACGAUGAGUGCUAGGUGUUAGGCCCUUUCCGGGGCUUAGUGCCGGAGCUAACGCAAUAAGCACUCCGCCUGGGGAGUACGACCGCAAGGUUGAAACUCAAAGGAAUUGACGGGGGCCCGCACAAGCGGUGGAGCAUGUGGUUUAAUUCGAAGCAACGCGAAGAACCUUACCAGGUCUUGACAUCCCGAUGCUAUUCUUAGAGAUAGGAAGUUACUUCGGUACAUCGGAGACAGGUGGUGCAUGGUUGUCGUCAGCUCGUGUCGUGAGAUGUUGGGUUAAGUCCCGCAACGAGCGCAACCCUUAUUGUUAGUUGCCAUCAUUAAGUUGGGCACUCUAGCGAGACUGCCGGUAAUAAACCGGAGGAAGGUGGGGAUGACGUCAAAUCAUCAUGCCCCUUAUGUCCUGGGCUACACACGUGCUACAAUGGUCGGUACAACGAGUUGCGAGCCGGUGACGGCAAGCUAAUCUCUGAAAGCCGAUCUCAGUUCGGAUUGGAGGCUACAACUCGCCUCCAUGAAGUCGGAAUCGCUAGUAAUCGCGGAUCAGCACGCCGCGGUGAAUACGUUCCCGGGCCUUGUACACACCGCCCGUCACACCACGAGAGUUUGUAACACCCGAAGUCGGUGAGGUAACCUUUUAGGGGCCANC